AUGGAUGCCCCGGCGGCUGACGUGGAGGUGAGGCGCGGCACGGUGGUGGCUUCAGCGCGCAGAUCCGCAUCAAUGGCGGAAGCGGAACGACGUCUCUCCAGGUGUGGCGUCGUGGCGGUCAUCGUCGGCUUCCACCCCUCCAUCGACCUGCCCGCCGUCAAGCAUGCGAUGGCACAGCGCUUUCGCAUCCACAGUGACAACAUCAAGGUCUCCUUGCGGGCGUUGGGAGAGUACCUGCUCAUCUUCGACGAUGCGCGUGUCCGCGACGCCGCCAUUGCCAUCCAAGGGCCGCUCACCAUUGGAAGGGUGUCGUUCGUGCUCUCUCCUUGGACUCGUUUCCGCAGAGCCACUCCUUCCAAGUUGCUCUUCAAGGCCAGGAUUUGCUUGGAGGGCGUCCCUGAGCAUGCUUGGGAUGUGGAUUCGGUCAGAAACCUCUUUGAUCCUUCUAUCAUCAUUGAUGGAAUUGACCAGGAGGUGCGGUCGGAGGAGGAGACGGGUUGUCUGCGCCUUUGGGUGUGGACAGAUGAUGUCCAGAAGUUCAAGACGAGAGGUGUGCUGCAAUUGGAAGAACCAAGGGAGCGGGGCUCUCCGGAGAUGCAGUUCCCGGAGCUGGGGAUAUUCGAAGAUGCGCCGGAACGUUGGGGACAGGUUGGCCUGCUCGGCCAUCCUGUUCUCAUCCAUCUGGACAGGGUGGUGGAUUUUCGAUACCCACCUGAUUCGAGCUCGGACAGCGGACAAAGCUUCAGCAGCGACAUCAGCGGCAUGCCGUCUGAGAUCUCCUCCACGCCUCCCUGGCCGGCAAGAUGGGGCUAUCGGUGGUACCUGCACUAUGAGGAUGGGGACUUCCCACCACCGCCUGCCAGAGCAUCGGCGCAUUCUAGUCUUCGCUUUCCCGAGCAAGGCGAUGGAGGCGACGACGGAGCUGGCGGUAGAGGAGCCGGAGCGAGAAGAAACCCUCCCAGCCAGGGCUAUAGGAGACGACAGUAUGGCCAGGGGCCAGGGCAUGCUGGUCCCUCACAGGAAGGACGCGGCAGCGCGGGUGCUGCCGGGGUGUUCGGAGAUGGCCGGCGGGUUGCUGCCGGCGGCGGCGGCGGUUGCAAGGAUGCCUUGGCGACGCACUCCCCUCCCUCGCUCAUUGAUGCCGAGUUCAUUGCAGCGCCGUCAGGCGGUGUGGACCCGUUCGCGUGCUCAGCCGAUGUUCCUGUCCUGCCAUUGGAUGACGGGGAGGGGAUGGGGCGUCUGUCGGCGGAUGAUGGUUUGGCAACUGAUGAGUCGCCAGCCGUUGAGGGACAGAUGGCCAGUUGCCCUUCCCUCCUUAGUUUGGGGAGGAGGGCCUCUGCCACUGGCUCUGCUGCUGGCUCCCUUGCAGCAAGCGCUGCCAGCAGGCGACGGACCGUCUGCAUGGCUGCAUGGCAGGAAUAUGCCAAGGAGAUGCCAUACCCCCCCUCCCUGAGCCGUUCGUCCUGA
rnacentral:rRNA from 1 species